rnacentral:rRNA from 1 species
GACGAACGCUGGCGGCGUGCUUAACACAUGCAAGUCGAACGGAAAUUCCCUGCUGUUUUGUUGUGCUCGAGUGGCGAACGGGUGAGUAACACGUGAGUAACCUGCCCGUUACUUUGGGAUAACUUCAGGAAUCUCGGGCUAAUACCGGAUAUGAUCUCCUGCUGCAUGUUGGGGGUUGGAGAGUUUGGGCGGUUGGGGAUGUACGCGCGGGUUAUCAGCUUGUUGGUGGGGUAGUGGCUUACCAAGGCUUUGACGGGUAGCCGGCCUGAGAGGGUGACCGGCCACAUUGGGACUGAGAUACGGACCAGAAUCGUACGGGAGGCAGCAGUGGGGAAUAUUGCACAAUGGGCGGAAGCCUGAUGCAGCAACGCCGCGUGCGGAAUGCCGGCCUUCGGGUUGUAAACCGCUUUCGCCUGUGACGAAGCGUGAGUGACGGUAAUGGGUAAAGAAGCACCGGCUAACUACGUG